GAUGAACGCUGGCGGCGUGCCUAAUACAUGCCAGUCGAGCGAACAGACGAGGAGCUUGCUCCUCUGACGUUAGCGGCGGACGGGUGAGUAACACGUGGAUAACCUACCUAUAAGACUGGGAUAACUUCGGGAAACCGGAGCUAAUACCGGAUAAUAUAUUGAACCGCAUGGUUCAAUAGUGAAAGACGGUUUUGCUGUCACUUAUAGAUGGAUCCGCGCCGCAUUAGCUAGUUGGUAAGGUAACGGCUUACCAAGGCAACGAUGCGUAGCCGACCUGAGAGGGUGAUCAGCCGCACUGGAACUGAGACACGGUCCAGACUCCUACGGGAGGCAGCAGUAGGGAAUCGUCCGCAAUGGGCGAAAGCCUGACGGAGCAACGCCGCGUGAGUGAUGAAGGUCUUCGGAUCGUAAAACUCUGUUAUUAGGGAAGAACAAAUGUGUAAGUAACUAUGCACGUCUUGACGGUACCUAAGCAGAAAGCCACGGCUAACUACGUG
rnacentral:rRNA from 1 species